AGAUUGAACGCUGGCGGCAGGCCUAACACAUGCAAGUCGAGCGGUAGAGAGGUGCUUGCACCUCUUGAGAGCGGCGGACGGGUGAGUAAUGCCUAGGAAUCUGCCUAGUGGUGGGGGAUAACGUUCGGAAACGGACGCUAAUACCGCAUACGUCCUACGGGAGAAAGCGGGGGACCUUCGGGCCUCGCGCCAUUAGAUGAGCCUAGGUCGAUUAGCUAGUUGGUGAGGUAAUGGCUCACCAAGGCGACGAUCCGUAACUGGUCUGAGAGGAUGAUCAGUCACACUGGAACUGAGACACGGUCCAGACUCCUACGGGAGCAGCAGUGGGAAUAUUGGACAUGGGCGAAAGCCUGAUCCAGCCAUGCCGCGUGUGUGAAGAAGGUCUUCGGAUUGUAAAGCAUUUAAGUGGAAGAAGGUU
rnacentral:rRNA from 1 species